UGCUGUUUCGCUGACGAGUGGCGGACGGGUGAGUAAUGUCUGGGAAACUGCCUGAUGGAGGGGGAUAACUACUGGAAACGGUAGCUAAUACCGCAUAAUGUCGCAAGACCAAAGAGGGGGACCUUCGGGCCUCUUGCCAUCGGAUGUGCCCAGAUGGGAUUAGCUAGUAGGUGGGGUAACGGCUCACCUAGGCGACGAUCCCUAGCUGGUCUGAGAGGAUGACCAGCCACACUGGAACUGAGACACGGUCCAGACUCCUACGGGAGGCAGCAGUGGGGAAUAUUGCACAAUGGGCGCAAGCCUGAUGCAGCCAUGCCGCGUGUAUGAAGAAGGCCUUCGGGUUGUAAAGUACUUUCAGCGGGGAGGAAGGGAGUAAAGUUAAUACCUUUGCUCAUUGACGUUACCCGCAGAAGAAGCACCGGCUAACUCCGUGCCAGCAGCCGCGGUAAUACGGAGGGUGCAAGCGUUAAUCGGAAUUACUGGGCGUAAAGCGCACGCAGGCGGUUUGUUAAGUCAGAUGUGAAAUCCCCGGGCUCAACCUGGGAACUGCAUCUGAUACUGGCAAGCUUGAGUCUCGUAGAGGGGGGUAGAAUUCCAGGUGUAGCGGUGAAAUGCGUAGAGAUCUGGAGGAAUACCGGUGGCGAAGGCGGCCCCCUGGACGAAGACUGACGCUCAGGUGCGAAAGCGUGGGGAG
rnacentral:rRNA from 1 species